UGGUGAGUAAGUCCUCCCGAAAGGAUGAUGCCAUGUUGACAUGGGUGGGAGCGAGUAGGGAAGGGUUCACCA
rnacentral:sRNA from 12 species